rnacentral:lncRNA from 1 species
AUGAGCACGCUGAGCCUUCGAGGGCAGACGCCGUGCAGCGUGGAGCUGAGGUGUGGGGGGCCGGAGGGGGCGAUGAAGCACCAACACCGGGGUGCUCCGGCCCUCACCCACCCGCAGCGCCAGGGCACUGGGGCACACGGCAGAGCCUGUGACACCUCUCCCGAUGCCUUUGACAUCUCCAGGAUGGCUGCUCAGGGUCGGGCUCUGGCUGGGGAGGCUCAGGGCGCUCCGCUCUCCCAUGGUGCAGAGCCGGCGGGACGUGGCUCCUGGAGGCAGCGUCGGGGCGACGGGAGCAGCUCCAGCUCUGUCUGCACCGAGGACUUGGCUGCCGCAUUUUGGGAGGGCAUGGUGGAGCCCGCAGUGUUCUCCGAGGGGGAGGAGGACGAGGCCCUCACUUUCCCUACCGAGGCCGAUGGCGAUGGGCAGGAUGCGUCCCCCUCCGUGGGACCAGGCUGUCCCUGGCGGGACACGUCCCCAUGGCUGACGAGGAGGGAGAGCCUGGAGUCCCUGGGAGUGAGGAUUUCCAGGCUGAGCCAGAUCAGUGCUGGGACAGCCCGAGGGGGUCCCUGCCCUGCCCCCUCCGAGGGGGACACGGGGCAUCCCUGGAGACCCCCAGGCAGCUCGGCCAGCAGGAGCGGGGCCGGGACCGGGGGACACCCCAGGAGCAAGCCCACGGAGACCAGACAUCAGCAGCCAGCAGCUGUCCGGGGGUGGCAAGGAGGAGACGCCGCCCUCACAGUGGAGAAGGAAGGAGGUGGCAGCAGGCAGAGGGGAGCUCGCUGCUCGUCUCACCGUACUGAGGCAGCAGCGGGACCCUCCGGCAGAUGCAGCCCCCACUCCAAGGUGCUGAGCUUCGUGUCCUGCCCAGGCGGAGUGACCCAGCCCCAGUGGCAGCGCGGGAGGCUGGCAGCUGUCCUGUCCCACAAGCUGGUGUCGCUGCGCGGGGCCCUGCGGAGGAGCCAGGAGAGGACGCAAGAGCUGGGAGCUGGUGCUCAGGGGACCUGGAGAGAAGGGGAGAGAGGCAGAGGCUCCGCGAGCUGCAGCAUCGAACCCGCUCCCUCCUGCGGCAGCGGCUGGAGACCCUGGAGCGGCUCCGUGUGCUGCUGCGGGAGGAGAAGGCGGCCGCGCCUCGGCAGCUCCAGGAGGCUAUGGAGAAGGAGCGGGACUGGAGGCAGCAGCGGGCCCGGAGGCAGAAGCGGGAGCAUCUUCACCGGGAGAAGGUGGCAGCGGUGGGAGGCCUGGAGGAGCCGCUGGCCCAAAGAUGGAGCCAACGUCUGCGCCUCCGCUCCGCCGCCUCCCAGUCCCCAAGCACUGUGCCCAGCCUCCAGCAGCACGGCCCAGGGUCCCUGGGUCUCCUGCACCAUGUCCAGCGCUGCCUGCAGGAGCUGCAGGUGGAUAAGACACACCGCACAGGCAACCUGGAGAACCCCAAAGUCCUGGGAAGAGAGCUGGGCACCGCAGCAAGCGAGGAGGAAUGUGGACAGCCUGGGACAGGGGACUCGCCCUCCACCGCAGCCUCACCCAAGCAAGAGCAGAGGUUCCUGGUACCAGACACCUCACGCCCCAGCAGGAGCAGCAGGAGGAAACACGACUGCAGGAGGAGUCGUCUGCUGUGACAGGGACUUGGACUGGGGCACAGAGGUGCUGAGACAUCCCUGGCUGCUCCAUCUCCCUGUACAUACCCAGAAGAACCAGCCAUAA